UUCAAAGACGCAAAGCAAUCAAAUAGGCUGCUGAACAUUUCAAAAAUCAUGCAUGGAUCCAGAGGAUGUUGAAUCAUAUAAAUUUUCAGCUAUAUGAUUUCAUUAAAAGAGCUACUUCAUUUUCUGAGUCGUUUACUGUGGAAAAGAAAUGCAAGAUUUAUGUUUUGAACCUGUAAAUGAAUGAAUGAAUUUCAACAGAGGAAAGUCACUCUAUUUUUGUCCUUUUUUCCCUAUUUUAUUCAUUAAUCUUUCACAAAUAUUUUAUUAGUCUUUUAAUCUCUAUUUUUGCUAAGUUGGUCCAUUACCUUUUGUUAUUGACUUUAAUGCAUUGGUAGGAAGUUUAUCAUGUGCAUGGAUUUGACAUGGACAUGGAAAAUACCAAGCUAUGCUAUUAUCAAUUUAUUUAAUUAUUACAUUAACCUGAAUAUUCUGAUGUUACAAUUCAAUUGCUUCAAAAUUUGUUAUAAA